rnacentral:rRNA from 1 species
UGGGGAAUUUUGCACAAUGGGGGAAACCCUGAUGCAGCGACGCCGCGUGAUUUAGAAGGCCUUCGGGUUGUAAAAAUCUUUUCUAUUGGAAGAUAAUGACAGUACCAUAGGAAUAAGGACCGGCUAAUUACGUGCCAGCAGCCGCGGUAAUACGUAAGGUCCGAGCGUUGUCCGGAAUCAUUGGGCGUAAAGGGUACGUAGGCGGGUAAGCAAGUUAGAAGUGAAAUCCUAUAGCUCAACUAUAGUAAGCUUUUAAAACUGCUCAUCUUGAGGUAUGGAAGGGAAAGUGGAAUUCCUAGUGUAGCGGUGAAAUGCGCAGAUAUUAGGAGGAAUACCGGUGGCGAAGGCGACUUUCUGGCCAUAACCUGACGCUGAGGUACGAAAGCGUGGGUAGCAAACAGG